rnacentral:rRNA from 1 species
UGCGUAGGCGGCUUUGUAGGUGAGGUGUGAAAUCCCACGGCUCAACCGUGGAACUGCGCUUCAAACCACAAGGCUUGAGGGAGGCAGAGGUAAGCGGAACUGAUGGUGGAGCGGUGAAAUGCGUUGAUAUCAUCAGGAACACCAGUGGCGUAGGCGGCUUACUGGGCCUCUUCUGACGCUGAGGCACGAAAGCUAGGGUAGCGAACAGGAUUAGAUACCCUGGUAGUCC